GGAGCAGUAGCUCAGUGGUAGAGCUUCCGCUUCGUACACGGGAAGACAUAGGUUGGAUUCCUGGCCGCUCUC
rfam:Toxocara canis scaffold113, whole genome shotgun sequence.